rnacentral:rRNA from 1 species
UACGGGGGGAGCAAGCGUUGUUCGGAUUUACUGGGCGUAAAGGGCGCGUAGGCGGCGUGACAAGUCACUUGUGAAAUCUCCGGGCUUAACUCGGAGCGGCCAAGUGAUACUGUCGUGCUAGAGUGCGGAAGGGGCUACUGGAAUUCUCGGUGUAGCGGUGAAAUGCGUAGAUAUCGAGAGGAACACCUGCGGCGAAGGCGGUUCUCUGGGCAUUACCUGACGCUGAGGAGCGAAAGUGUGGGGAGCGAACAGG